AGUUUAUUUUGAAUAAACACAAGUCCGAAUAAUUUGCAAAAGGUUUCAAAGAAUUCAAGAAAUAUAAGUUGAUGAGUAAGACGUCUAAUGUAUUUACCUCCUUAGAUUUGAUCCAAGGAAAGGUAACACUUUAGAAUAGUUUCCUUGAAAGAUAUCAAGGAAAGAAGCAUCAUAUGAUAAUGCAUUUCUCCAUUAGGAGAAGAACGAACUUGAAUAAGAUUUAGUUCGUUGGAUGUUAUCAAUUACCCAUAUAU
rnacentral:lncRNA from 1 species